UUGUUAUCAAAUGCAUAAUUUAACUAGUAUUGACAAAGUUUUCCAACUUAGAAACCCUCUCCGUAACAUUUCUGGCCAUUCUAAAAAUUACAAUUUCUUAUUUGACUGGGUUAGUCAAAUAAGAUUUAUAUUUUGGCGGGAAGCCCUUCGAUUAUUUCCGUAAAUGUUCGGAUCGGAGUCACGUGAUUGAUAUAUGUCAAACCAAAAUAAUGGCGGACAAGACGAAAGGUGUGAAACGUAUAGGCUUACAAGAGAAGAAGAUUUCAGAUUCGGAAAGGAAAAGUGGAAAGAAACCGUGAUUUCAUUCAAUGAAGGAUAUACAUCGGUAGUGAAUCAAGGCGGUGAAAAUUUCUAAAAAGGGAAAUUAAAGCCAAAAGCGACCGUGAAGUUGUAACAUUUUCUGAUUGACAGAAAUAGAUCAAUUACAUCAUCAUCAUCACGUGUUACAAUACCAAGGACAUUAAAGAUGACCUCAAUGCAUUUGCAGGGGAAAGUAAGGUGUCUGAAAAGGAGUUAAGUGAUGACAGGUAGCACUAAAGAAAGCCCAUUAAAUCCUUUUGAAGUGGAAUUGUGACAUAGAAAUUCAUUUCUGGUUUAGUUGUAAAACUGCCACAAACUAGAAACAAUUCAUGAUUGUGGAGUACACCAAUGCCUAGUACAAUCAUGGUCCAUUAUAAAUCAGAACAAACCAUGGCUGCAAGGAAACAACAUGCACAUGGCCUGAAAGAUCUGGCUGGCGUUUUGAUGUAUAAAAGUUUUCUGAAUAAGAUGAUAUACUAUCUCAACUUGAGGUAUGUUCUCACCCGGUAUAAUGAAAUAAAUUAAUAUUGUCCAUAGGGUUCUCUCUGGAUCAGUUUUAGUUUGCACCACCAGAUUAGCCAAUCAGAAAAUGUUGGAGCCAAUGGCUCCAAAGUUGGAGCCAUUUAUUCUGCAAGGGAGAUAUGCCUGUCUUUGUUAAGAUAUGCUUGCAGUUUGAUGUGAAAUUUUUAUAUGGAUUUAUUUUCCUAAAUAAAAAGGAGUUAUGAUAAGUCCUGAUUAAUACAAAGUUCA